CAGCUAUACUGGGUGUUGUCACACUUGGUAACAGCCGCUAUGUAGUAUUUUAAAAAAUAUUUAUUAUCUGAAUAAAUAAAGAGAAAGGGAAAUGUCUCAUCAGAAACCAAAAUUUACUAUAGAACUAAUAAAAGAGGAGGACCAAAAAGAAGUUUAUGAAGUUCUUAAAGAAUUUUUUCUAAAGGAUGAACCUAAUUGUAAAAAAAUGGGAAUUACUCAUUGUGAUGAUGCAGAAAAAUAUUUAACAAAAAGUCUGGGAGAUAAUUGUUCUCGAUGCAUGGCAAAAUAAUAGGCGUUGUUUCAAUGGCGUAAACUUGGUAUGCUCAUAGAUAAUAUCAAUGAACAUUAUGAUAUUUUUCAACAAUAACAUGAUUCGGAAACAUUUCUUGAUGGGAAAGCAACAGCUGUUAACUAUCGGAGCUUAGGAAUAGCUGGAGAACUAUUAAAAAAAACUAUUGAAUAUAUGAACGAAAAUAAUAUUCAAGCAAUGAUGAGAACAUGUUCCAGUGCAUUUUCUGCCAGAGUUAUGGAAAAACUCAAUAUGAAAGAAGUUUAUAGAAUUAAUUACAAAGAUUUUAUUGUUAAUAAUGAACAAAUUUUAAAUCCAGAUAGCCCACAUGUUGCUUGUAGAGUUUUUGUAUUUGAUAUAAAAAAUGUUGAUAUAACAAAAUAAUUUUGAAAUUUAUUAACAAAUUUAUUGAAUUUAUUGUGAUAGUUUAUUUUAAUUCAUGUACAAAUGUAAAUAUAGUUUAAGUUUUAUGAUAACGUGCA